rnacentral:rRNA from 1 species
UACAGAGGGUGCGAGCGUUAAUCGGAUUUACUGGGCGUAAAGGGCGCGUAGGUGGUCAGAUAAGUGAGAUGUGAAAUCCCCGGGCUCAACCUGGGAACUGCAUCUUAUACUGUCUGGCUGGAGUACAUGAGAGGGUAGUGGAAUUUCCGGUGUAGCGGUGAAAUGCGUAGAUAUCGGAAGGAACACCAGUGGCGAAGGCGGCUACCUGGCAUGAUACUGACACUGAGGCGCGAGAGCGUGGGGAGCAAACAGG